rnacentral:tRNA from 3 species
UAGAUUAAAGCCAGUUGAUUGAGGCAUUUAGCUGUUAACUAAAUUUUUGUGGGUUUAAGUCCCAUUAAUCUAG